rnacentral:rRNA from 1 species
CAGCCGCCGCGGUAAUACGUAGGUGGCAAGCGUUGUCCGGAAUUAUUGGGCGUAAAGGGCUCGCAGGCGGUUUCUUAAGUCUGAUGUGAAAGCCCCCGGCUCAACCGGGGAGGGUCAUUGGAAACUGGGAAACUUGAGUGCAGAAGAGGAGAGUAGAAUUCCACGUGUAGCGGUGAAAUGCGUAGAGAUGUGGAGGAACACCAGUGGCGAAGGCGGCUCUCUGGUCUGUAACUGACGCUGAGGAGCGAAAGCGUGGGGAGCGAACAGGAUUAGAUACCCCUGUAGUCCCUGUCUCUUAUAC